CAAUAGCGUAUAUUAAAGUUGUUGCGGUUAAAAAGCUCGUAGUUGGAUUUCUGUCGAAGGCGGCCGGUCCGCACUAUGUGCGUGCAUCUGGUUCGGUUUUGGCAUCCUCUUGGGAAGCGUUUCUGUGCUUGAUUGCAUGGGGCGGAAUUCAAUGACUUUACUUUGAGGAAAUUAGAGUGUUCACGGCAAGCUAUCGCUUUGAAUACAUUAGCAUGGAAUAAUAAUAUAGGGCGUGAGUUCUAUUUUGUUGGUUUCUAGGACAUACGCAAUGAUUAAUAGGGACAAUUGGGGGCGAUUCGUAUUAACGCGUCAGAGGUGGAAUUCUUAGAUUGCGUUACGACGAACUACUGCGAAAGCAUUUGCCAAGGAUGUUUUCAUUGAUCAAGAACGAAAGUAUGGGGAUCGAAGACGAUUAGAU
rnacentral:rRNA from 1 species